CUACGGGAGGCAGCAGUGGGGAAUAUUGGACAAUGGGCGAAAGCCUGAUCCAGCCAUGCCGCGUGUGUGAAGAAGGCCUUUUGGUUGUAAAGCACUUUAAGCGAGGAGGAGGCUACUUAGAUUAAUACUCUAGGAUAGUGGACGUUACUCGCAGAAUAAGCACCGGCUAACUCUGUGCCAGCAGCCGCGGUAAU
rnacentral:rRNA from 1 species